GCUCCAGUGGCCUAGUAGUUAGAUCUUCCGCCUCAUAUGCGGGAGGUCGUGGGUUCGAUCCCCGGUCGAGUA